GAAAUGCGAUAAGUAAUGUGAAUUGCAGAAUUCAGUGAAUCAUCGAAUCUUUGAACGCACCUUGCGCUCCUUGGCAUUCCGAGGAGCAUGCCUGUUUGAGUGUCAUUAACAUCUCAAUACCUGUCUGCUUUUGAUGAGUAUUGGAAAUUGGGGGUUGCAGGGCUGUAUCAGACAUAUAGAUAUAUGCAUAGCUUUGCUCUCCUUGAAUGUAUUAGUGGAGAAAAAGAAAGCUCAUUGAACUCCAUUGGUGUGAUAAAAUCUAUCAAUGCCAGGAACAAUGUCCAAGUUUCUCUGCUGUCUAAUCUAUGUCCAGUUUGGACCUCAUUUGACCAACUUGACCUCAAAUCAGGUAGGACUACCCGCUGAACUUAA
rnacentral:rRNA from 1 species